AUUGAACGCUGGCGGCAGGCCUAACACAUGCAAGUCGAGCGGAUGAAGGGAGCUUGCUCCUGGAUUCAGCGGCGGACGGGUGAGUAAUGCCUAGGAAUCUGCCUGGCAGUGGGGGAUAACGUCCGGAAACGGGCGCUAAUACCGCAUACGUCCUGAGGGAGAAAGUGGGGGAUCUUCGGACCUCACGCUAUCAGAUGAGCCUAGGUCGGAUUAGCUAGUUGGUGGGGUAAAGGCCUACCAAGGCGACGAUCCGUAACUGGUCUGAGAGGAUGAUAGGUCACACUGGAACUGGGACACGGUCCAGGCUCCUACGGGAGGCAGCAGUGGGGAAUGUUGGACAAUGGGCGAAAGCCUGGUCCAGCCAUGCCGCGUGUGUGAAGAAGGUCUUCGGAUUGUAAAGCACUUUAAGUUGGGAGGAAGGGCAGUAAGUUAAUACCUUGCUGUUUUGACGUUACCAACAGAAUAAGCACCGGCUAACUUCGUG
rnacentral:rRNA from 1 species